UAAUUAACUAGUGUCUUAAUUACCUCUUUCAGAAUUUAGAACUUGAGUCUGAACCAGAAUAGUUGGCAGCCAUGAAUACCUAGAAUGAAAUGCUACAUGGGACAGAUCUUUAUGUAUGUUUUUUGGAUAUUGAACAAACAGAUGGGCGUCCAAGGUUCCUGUGAACAGCAACGAGGCAUGCAUUCAUGGAAGAAGGGAAGUGGGGCUUCCAAGCGAUGUUGCUAGGUUGACAAAGAGACUCGCAGCAAAUGCAAGGGCAUAGGAAAGCAGAGGUAAUCGGUUCCUGAACAUGAUUGGUUUAGGUCCUGCAAAGCCUAGUUCAAGGUUUCAUUUGGAUACUCAAGUGACUCAAAUAACUAGCCCGGUGAAUUUCAGUAUCAAUCUCCUGAGUUUGGGUGAGUUUGUUAAAUCCAUUAUUCAUGUUGUCAGUAGAGUUUUU